rnacentral:lncRNA from 1 species
UCCAGCCGAGACUUAGCCAAUUUUCAGCUUCGUCCGUUUUCGCUCCGUUUUCGCCCGUUUUCGUUCAUUUGACCUCCGAUUCGUCUCAAAUCGAACCGAGACUCUCCAAACAUGUUUUCAAACAUGUUUUCAUCAUCUUUCCAUCCUCGCUAAUGCCGGAUUUAGCUCACAGCCCAAUUUAGCCUUUCGGGUCCCGUUUCCGCGCCUACGCGCACCGAAACGCUCGAUAGCUCCCGAACUUCACCGAACUUCACCGAAACCAUUCAAAUGGCUCUCUAAUCGAAUGUACACCAUAACUCAAUAGUUUUAGAAGUCCGGUACCUUACAAGUAGACUACACAGUUGCGCCCUAACAGUAUAAAUUUGCAACGAGUACUUUUUCUCAUUCAAUCGAAUAAAGAGUAAAAGCUAAUUAUAUUGUUCUAUUAUGCCCCGAGAUUGUUAAUUUAGAACGAAUCGAUGUCAACGUUGAAAAGAACCAAAUCCGGAACAACAUUAGACUACUCAGUUGCGCCCUAACAAUAUAACUUCGCAACGAGUACUUUUUCUCAUUCAAUCGAACAAAGAGUAAAAGCUAAUUAUAUUGGUCUAUUAUGCUCCGAGAGUGUUAAUUUUGAACGAAUCGAUGUCAAUGUUGACAAGAACCAAAAUCGGAACAAUAUUAGACUACUCAGUUGCGCCCUAACAGUAUAACAUUGCAACGAGUACUUUUUCUCAUUCAAUCGAAAAAAGUAUAAAAGCUAAUUAUAUCGUUCUAUUAUGCCUCUGGAGUGUAAAUUUGGAACAAAUCGUUGUCAACCUUCACAAGAACCAAAACCGGAACAACAUUAGACUUCUCAGUUGCGCCCUAGACAGCAUAAACUUCGCAUAACGAUACACUUUUUUCUCAUCCAAUCGAACAAAAGUAAAAGCUUAAAUGUUCUAAUCCGUCGAGAGGUAAAUUUGAGAAAUAAUCAUGUCGAACGUUGACAAGAACAAACGAACACAUUGACUACUCAUUGUCGCCCUAACAUAUAACUUUGCAACGAUACUUUUCUCAAAUGUCAAUCGAACAAAGAGUAAAAGCUAAUUAUAUUUUACUAUAUGCCUCGAAUUGUACUUAAAAAAUCGUUCACCUUCACAAAACGUCUAAGACCGAGACAACAUUAGAUCCUGCUUAUAUCGCUCCUAGAACAGAUAACUUUGCAGACCAGUACUUUUCGCAUUCUACUCGAACAAAGAGAAAAGCUAAUUAUAAGUCCUAUCUAUGCCUCGAGAAGUUGAAAUUGAACGCUAAUCGAUUCAACCUUAAAAAAAAUCAACCGAACAAACAUUAACUAUCAGUUGUGCCCUAAAAAUAGUUUAAAUUGUUACAUACUUUUCUCAUCAACAAAAAAAAGAGUAAACUAAUUCAUAUUAUCCUAUUAUGCCCCGAGAGUGUAAAUUUGAAACAAAUUGAUGAACAACUCUUCACAAGACCAAAACCGAACAACAUUAGACCCACCCAGUUGCGCCUAACAAAAACUUUGCACGAUACUUUCCUCAUCCAAUCGAACAAAUAUAAACCCGUAAAUAGAGCCUAUUAUCCCGAGAGUGUAAAUGACCAAAUUGAUGUCAACCAUUACACAAAACCAAAAUCGUAACAACAUAACCACUCAUGCGCCUAACAUAUAACUUUGGCAACGAGUACCUUUUCUCAAUCAAUCGACAAAAGAUUAAAAGCCUAAUUCUAUUGUCUAAUAAUGCUCUGGAGCAAGUAAUGGUAAGUAAGCGGAUGCUUAUGUUCAGAAGUAUAAAAACUGAAUCAGACAUUAGACUACUCAGUCCCCCUAUAACGAUAGAAUUUGCAACGAGUACUUUUCCCAUUCACAUCGAACAAAGAAAUUCCUAUUACCUAUGAAAUUAUGGAAAACAAUUGAUGUCAACCUUACAUAAGAACCAUUGCCUAAAACCGGAAACAACAAAGACACCAGUUCGCCCUAAACACAGUAUAUGACUUUGCAACGAUACCGCCUUUCCAUCAAUCGAAUAAAGAUGUAAAACCUAAUAUAUGUGAUUCUGCCCCGAAUGCAAAUGGUUUAAGAACGAAUCGAUGUCAACGGUUGACAAGAUACCAAAACAGAACAACAUUGACUAGCUCACGGCGCCCUAAACAUUAUAACCUUGCAACGAGUACCGUUCUGUCAUAUCGAGACAAAGAGUAAAAUACUAAUUAUAUGUCUAGUUAUGCCCAGAAAUUGUAUUUACGCAACAAUCGAUUUUCAACGGAAAAAACCAAAACCGAACAUCACAUUGACUACUCAGUUCGCAUAAACAGUAUAACUUUACAACGAUACCUUCUCAUCAAUCGCAACAAAGGCGAUAAAGCUUUAAUUUUAUAGUUGCCUAUUAUCCCACAGUGUUAAUUUAGAACACGUAAUAGAUGUCCAAUAUUCGACAAAACUGCAAAAUCCGAACAACGUAGACACUUAUUGCGCCUAUCCAGUAUAGGUACUUUUCGAGAUAUGUCACGCCCAACCGCAUAACUAACCGAAAACAGUGCCAUUUGGUCAUUUCGAGGGCAGCGUGCGUGAUGCGGAACAGGACUGCAGUCCGUCGCUCUCGCCCAGGCUAAGCAACCUGAAUUGUGGUACAACAAGUCACCCAAGGAAAAACAACUUGCAGCAUACAAAUCAGCUACGAAAACGAAAGCACAAACAGAUGCUACAACCAACUAAGCAAGCGAUACAAUUAAACCAUAUCAAGAUAAAAAGAAGAAACGUUAAACUAUUGAAACAUUAUUGAAACAUUAACCUUUCGGAUAUCAUUAAACAUUUAAUCCUUAAUACAAAUCGGCAUCCUUCCCCAAAAUAAAUAUAACUCAAACUCCCAAAACUCACCCUAUACCAACAUCUACUCUCAUAGUGAACAAAAAGUACAGGUAGAGCAAUGCGAGUAAAAAUAAAAAUAACUACCAACCGCCACCCUUGCGCUAAGCCUUGCUCGCAUCCUCCAGCUCAUCGGGCGCCUUCCGAGCUAGUACCUCAACGAGGGUUAAACUACGAGAGUGCGCCAGUGGAUUCGUCCACAGCCGACUUGUGCAGGCUUGCCGCCAGAUUCUACUGCACAGAUUCUUUAAGCAGCAUAGAGAAUAUAUAUUAGUAAUAUCAUACUAAACUAAAACUGAACUAAACAGGUAAUGGAACGUAAUAUCACUAUCUCAAUCUAUAUCAUGAUGCAGAAGAAUAAUAAACUGGUAUUAACAUCUAGUAACAUCUAUCAACAGCUAUCAUAGUAACUAUAAUCUAAUCGACAGGAAGCAAAGGUAACAAAGAACAAUGAAAUAGCUACUAUAAUACAAUUAUGUAAACCAAUGGGUAACCCAUCUCGCAAGUAUAGCAAAUUAAACACAUAGGUCCACAACCAAAGCUUCACAUGAACCUCCGAGGGAAUGCCUACUGACAAUCCCAUAACCUGUGGAUAACAAGUCGGCAUCCGACUGCAGCAAGCUCGCUCCUGUCUAGUGACCCCCCUAACUCCGGAGCGCACGAACUUGAAGCGGACAAACCCAACCUACGCAAAGACAGGCAAGUGAGCAUGAUCAAGCUCCACGACAUAAACCUUUAGGGAAUAUACAAUACAUCAAUAACUCUUGACCCACUCAAUAUCCAACCAACACUAAUCUAGAUCAUCUCAAUAAACAAUCAAAACAUUGCCACUCCGUCAUAGUUUCUAAAGAUGCCACUCGUUCUUUAAACCAUCAACAAUAGUAAUCUAAACAUUAUAAGGUCUAAUCAUCUCAAUAGUUUGAAAAUCUCAUAAUUAAACUCGAAUCAUAUUAAUCCAUGCAUACAUUUAUAAAUCAUUCAAUCAACCAUAUCAUAGCUAAUAGCAGCAAAUGAAGCAAUAAAUUAAUCUUAACACCUAUAAGAACAUGUACAAUAUCAAUUCUGAUCAAUAUUUACAUACUAACUAGCCCUAUACUUCGAUGAGCACUCCCCCACCUUAGGUUAUCCGAAAACACUCCGAGACCGCUCUCGUCUAGCUCUGUCGCCGCGCUUAAUUUUGUUGGAUAGCAUUAAACCCUAAAAGCCACUUCGCAAAAAUAGGAUAUCUUCGCCGCGAUUUCGUAUCGACUAAUACCGCUUUCGUUCCUACGCAUUUAUCAAGGCAUAAAAAAUUAGGUUCAACCCCUCAAAAGAUCAACCCUAAUAUUAGCAAAAUUCCAAAAUCAAGCCCUAGUUUAGCACCCAUGGAAGGCAUGGGUCUAGCUUCAUUGUGAGCUAAACCAAUAUCUCUAAGCUCAUUAGUUCCAUUGAACCAUUUAAAUACGCAACCAAGACUCUCAUAAAACAACCCAAGAUACCAUGAAAGAGUUGAGGCUUACCUCUAGGUUUGCUCCAAAGCAAGCCUAACCAAGAAUGAAGGAGACGAAAAGAGCGUUCUUUCGUCUUCUCCUUGCUUUCUUAUUUCCUCCUUCCUUCCUUUUUCCUCCUCUUCUCUCUUCUCCUUCUUCUUCCGUUAGAAGAAGAGCAUGAGAGGAAAGAGCUGAUGAGUGAGAGGAAUGGCCGAGAAAGGAGGGUUAAGUCCUCUAUGUAAUAUAAGNNNNNNNNNNNNNNNNNNNNNNNNNCGACAACAUUAGACUACUCAGUUGCGCCCUAACAGUAUAACUUUGCAGGAGUACCUUUUUUCUCAUUCAAUCAAUAAAGUGUAAAAGCUAAUUAUAUUGUUCUAUUAUUCCUCGAGAUUGUUAACUUAGAACGAAUCGUUUUCAACCUUCACAAAGAACCAAGACGGAAAAACAUUAGACUGCUUAGUUGCGCCCACUAACAGUAUAAAAAAAAAUUGAUGCAACGUGUACUUUCUUCGUCAUUCAAUCGAAUUGAGAGCAAAAGCUAAUUAUAUUGUUCCUUUAAGCCUACGCGAGGGUAAAAUUGGAACUAAUCUUUGUCGAACCUUCACAAGCAACCAAAACCGGAACAAUAUUAGACUACUCAGUUGCGCCUAACGUAUAACUUUGAACGAGUACUUUAUUCUCAUCUAUCGGGAACAAAGAGUAAAAGCUAAUAUCUAUUGUUCUAUUAUGCACCUGAGAAUGUAAAUUGGAACGAAGUGAUGUCUAUUUUCAGGGAAGAUAGAAAACUGGAACAACAUUAGCUACUCAGUUGCGCAGCUAACGUAUAAAAUUUUGCAAGCGAGUACUUUUUCUCAUUCAAUCGAACAAAGGGAGUAAAGCUAAUUAUAUUGUUUCGUAUUAUGCCCCGAGAUUGCAUAAUUCUAGAACGAACGAUGUUUCAACGUUGAAAAGACACCAGAACUCCAAAACCACUAUUAGACUACUUCAGUUGCCCCCUAACAGUAUAACUUUGCAACGAGGUCUUUUUUCAUUCAAUCGAACCAAAGGAGUAAACGUAAUUAUAUUGGGUCUAUAUAUUCCGCCAGAGAGUGUUAAUUUAGAACGGAAUCGACUGUCGAAUGGUUGACAAGAACCAAAACGGAAACAACAUUAGACUACUCUGUUGCGCGCUAACAGUAUAACUUUGCAACGAUAUACUUUUCUCAUCAAUCGAAAAAGAGUAAAAGCUAAUUAUACUCGUUCGAUAUGCCUCUGGACUGUAAAUUUGGAACAAAUCGUUCUUCACCUUCAAAGAACCAAAAAUCGGAACAACAUUAGACUUCGAGUUGGCCGCCAAACGGGCAAAAUUUGCAACGAGUAACUUUUUCUCAUUCAAUCGAACAUAAGAGUAAAAGCUUACAUUAAAUUGGUUCUAUUAAUGCCUCGAGAGUGUAAACUUUGGAAAGAUAUGGAUGUCAACGUUGAACAAGAACAAAAAGCCGGAACAACUUAGAUUACUCAGUUGCGCCCUUAACAGUAUAACUUUGCAACGGAGUAGACUUUUUGUCUCAUUUCAAUCGAACAAGUGUAAAAGCUACAAUUAUAUUGUUCUAUUAUUCCUCCGAGAUUGUUACUUAAACGAUCGUUUUCAACCUUCACAAGAAUCAAACACACGGAAACAUCUAUGACUGCUUAGUUGCGCACCUAACGUAAUUAAAUUUGCAACGAGUACUUUUUCUCAUUCAAUCGAAUUAGAGAGCAAAAGUUUAAUCUAUAUUGUUCCUUUAAUGGGCCAGUCCGGGAGGGUAAAUUGGAACGAAUCGUUGUCAACCCUUCACAAGAAACCAAAACCGGAACCAAUAUUAGACUACUCAGUUGCGCUCCUAACAGUAUAACUUCGCAACGAGUACUUUUUCUCAUUAAUCGAACAAAGAGUAAAAGCUAAUUAUCUUAAUCUUUAUGCCAGGAUUGUUAACUUUAGACGAAUCGCCUGUUCCAAUGUUCACACGAACAACAAGGCCGGAACAACAUUAGACUUACUCAGUUGCGCACCCUAACAUAUAACCUUUGCAACCAUACUUACAUCUCUCCCUCAUUCUAUCGAACAUAAGAGUAAAAGCUGAACUGAAUAUAUUGUUCUACUACUGCCUCAGGAGAGUGUAAAUUUGGAACGGGAUCGAAUGCACCUUCACAAGAAUCAAAACCGGGACAACAUUAGACAAGUCAGUUGUGCCUAAUUAGUAUAAAUGUUUGUACGAGUACUUUUUCUCAUUACAAAUCUAAAAAAGAGUAAAAUCUUAAUUAAUAUAUUCUUAUUAUGCCAGCGAGAGUGCUAAAUUUGGAACAAAAAUUAUGGUCCAACCUUCACAAGAACCAAAAAACCGGAACAACAUUUAGACACUCAGUUGCGCCCGUAACCGGAUAUACUUUGAACGAGUACUUUUUCUCAAUCAAUCGACAAAAGAGUAAAACCUAUAAUUAUAAUAUGAUUCUAUAUGGCCGCCGGAGAGUGUAAAUUUGGAACAAAUUUGAUGUCAAACCUGUUCACAAGAACAAAAACCGGAACAAAUUAGAAAACUCAGUUGCGCCAUAACAGUAUAAGCUUUGCAACGAAGUACUUUUUUCAAAAUCAAUCGAACAAAGAGUAAAAAGCUAAUUCUAUUGUUCUAUGUUAUGCACUUGAGAAUGUAAAUUCGGAACAAGCGAGUGUCGUAUUUUCAGAAGAUAGACAAACUGGAACCAACAGUAGUUGUCACUGCCCGAGACCGCUCCCGAAAUUUUUGGUCCGGUUCGCGGGGCACCGCGACAGCCGCCGAACGGACGCGUUUCCCCUGUCGCGGAACAGGAGAGCUCCCCUGGUACGUUCCUAGGGCGUCGCCAAUCCAAAACAAGUGUCACAUUACAAAAGAUUCCAGACCAGGGAACAGUACUCAGCAAACAGAAUUGCAAUCAGGAACGGUAUCAGAUCCAACAGUUAAAAACACAAUACCUAAUGAUAUUUACGACAGCAUUCACAUUACGAUGCACAUUCAUUACAUUCAACUUCCUGAAUACCAAUUAAGUUAUUAAACAUUUAUUUUUUACAGACAUUGAUAAUUUUGCUGUGCUUUUUUUCUAUACCUAAGCUAGUCGACGCCGGGGUGCUGGCGAGCUCUGGCCUCUGGGGUAGGGCGCCUAUCUAAUGGGAGUACGCCCUUGCCAUCGGCGCCGCCGCGCCGCUCACGUCGCGAACCUUUAAACCCCAAAGAACAGGCGUGGGGGUGGAACCAACUCCAUGGGGUUUCCCAGUGCGGUUAAGCCACCCGAAGGGAGGAGCGUCGAACAACAGGUCCAAGGGAAGGCAAAUACAAGUUAGGUCCAAUAAGACAGAUAGAUAAAUGUAUACUCAUAAUAUUCAUGCAACUAACUAUUACACUUGGCGUUGUUGCCUCACAACUGCAAUGAUGCAUGCUAUUACCUGGCAACCAGGAACGGUUGGAACGCUGCGCCUAGUGAGAUGAUUAUGUUGAUUCUGACGAUUCAAUCUCGCUAAUCUUAAGCUCAUGUCAUCCAACUCUAAGGUGUUCCCGCUAACUGCUAGGUUAACAAUCUACCACUAGCCUCAAGGUUCUAUUCUACCUUAUUCCGUCAAGCCACCCGACUCGCCUCGAGUCCAAUCAACAGGGAUAAAUCCGCGCUCUGGCCCGGGCUCGAGGUGAGCAGGAAUCCUGUCGCAUUGCACCUCAGCCUGCAAGCCAAAGAAAGCCACCAUCGGCCAACGGUCCGCUGCCGAAGGGUCCGUGCACCGUGGUCAGGGAUUCGCGCCAGUGGGAGAAGGAAACAUAGCCACGUACACCCAUAGCUCUGAGAUCCCCGACUAACGGGAGAGGAGGAAUAUGCCACGUUCCACCCUAGGCGCAUCUCCCUAUUCAUUGCUUAGUCUAUAUUCCUCAAGUAGUUCUUUCCGGUGGGAAAGAGGAACAUCGCGGCAUUACACCGCCGGUCCAGAACUAUAUGAGUUCACUCCGAGUACUGAGAUUCCGGAUAUCGACUCCACAAGUCCGCAAGGGUCCAUAUCCACGCCUAAUACUCAUUGAACCCUAUCUUCGGGUCCAAUGCACUUUCCACCUAGUUCCAACUGCACUCUAGGAUCUUAAUUGCCUCCAUUUCACAACUAGUUUACUUUAACUCUAGGUUCCAUUCGUCGACCUAAUGUCUCUUUAACCACUAGGUAGACUGCCUGAAGCACUGAGAAUCGCCGACUCUUAGGAUUCAUACUCAACCUAUGUUCUUUAACACUAGGUUAGGUGACCCACUCGUUAUUUUAUCCUAGUUUAAAUACUCUAGAUGUCGAUGUAUCUAUGCCGACCUUGAUGUUAUGUAACCACUAGGGUUAAUGCCAACUCGAUCUACUUGAUGUCCUUACUUGUACUUAUCAAGGUAUUCUACAGUUCAUCACUAAUUAAUAUUUAGUAUCAACUACCAUGCAUCAUCUUGCAGUUUUAUCACAUGGACAAUGCACUUCUUAACAUUAUGUAUUAUGUCUAUCAUGGCCUCUCCUAGCAUCAUGUACCAUGCAAUUCAGCUAGACAAUGAGUAUUCUACAGCAUACUUAAUAUUCCAUGUAUUAUGGCACUAUAUUUCUCAUUACGUCACUAUGCAUUAAUCUAUUAUUGGCCUCAUUUACAUUCAUUAUGCACUCAACGGCUGGAUUCUUAAUCAUCUUAGACAUAAAGGGCGACCUAGCGCAUCAUCGGUAAACACAACCCCACCUUAAACUUCGCCGUUCCGGAGCUUGCUCGUCGACCCACUUGCAAUCGGUCCCUCCGCGGCACUCGGCACCCGUUUGGGCCCGAGUCUCACAGAUUGCUUUCAAGAGCGGUCGCUUCGCCCGUUUCAAGUCGCUAACGAUCUUGGCCGUAGUAUGAUGCUCGGGACCCAAUUUCACAAAUUCAUGGAACGUCGCCUCGGAACCAUUCCAGGCGGGGGACAACCGAAGCUAGCCAAGCGUCCGUUCUUCAAUAUGCUUUGCAAGCAGGCUCGUUCGGCAUUGCCGAAUCGUCUGUUCGCCAACGUGUCUUGUUACGUAAUCAAUUAGGUUUACGAAGGGGUCAAUCUGAGAUCAAACCCCACCUAUUUCUUAAAACCCCUUUGGCCCUAGUUCGCGGACUACGGCAACAAUACCUCCACAAUAAAUCCGUAGAUUCAUGCAUGUAACUCUACUCAUAAGCCAUGCUAGGCAUCGCAUCUAAAACCAAUUUCUUAGAGCGUUUAACCGAAACACCUAAGAAAUCACAUUAAAAGCUUGCAGAAGCUUACUCGCUAACGCCUCCUCGCGAAGCACAAGGAAGGAAUGAAGAAGAUGGAAGCUCUUCCUCUUCUUUCUUCUUCUCUUCCUCCUCUCGUUCUUCUUCUUCUUCUUUUCUUCUAUUGUUAUGGAGGGAGAUAGGAGGUGGGCGGUUGGGGUUGAAAGGUGAGGCGACAAGACGAGGAGGCGAGAGAGGCUUCUUACUCCUCAUCUAUACAACUGUAACCCAUGCAACCGGGAUUGGCAGGAAAACCUCAACAGACAAGCCACUCUGCUGCAAACACGCGGAACUGGGCAGUUUCGGGGUUCGGAACGGUGUGCUACAUGAGGGCCGAGUCUCUGGUGAGAUCGGUCUCCCUACCUGGACCGCGGUCCCCAGAGAGACCUCCCAGCCGGAGGACUUGCCAGUUUGUAGCUUCGUCGGUUUUCGCUCCGUUCUGGCCCCGUUUUCGUUGGAUUGACCUCCGAUCUCGUCUUAAUCGAACCGAGACCUCUCCACACAAUGUUAUUCGCAAAGCAUGUUUUCCAUACUUAUCCAUCCUCGCUAAGCCGGAUGUUUGUAGCUCACAGGCCGAAUUUUAGCCCAUUAGUCGGGUUCCCGUUUCCGCGCCUACGCGCACCGAAACGCAUCGAUAGCUCACCGAACUUCCACCAACUUACACCGAAGCCAUUCAACAAUGGCUCUUACGAUCGAGAUGUACACCAUAAAGCUCAACUAGUUUUAGAAGUCGGUACUGUACAAGUAAGACAUUACACAGUUGCGCCCCUCUAAACAGUAUAAUUUGCAACGGAGUACUUUUCUCAUUCAAUCGAAUAAAAGAGUUAAACGCUAAUUCAUAUUGUUUCUAUUAUGACCCGAGAUUGCUAAUUUAGAGACGAGCCAUCGGAUGUCGAAGCGUUGUGAAGAAGAGCCAAAUCCGGAACAACAUUAACUCUCAGUUGCGACCUAACAGCGUAUAACUUCGGCAAAGAUACUUUUUCUCAUUCAAUCGAACAAGAAGAGUAAAGAAGCUACAUUAUAUUGGGUAUCUAGUUGUAUCCGGGGAGAGUGUUAAUUUUGAACGACGAUCGAUGUCAAUGUUGACGAAGAACAAAAUAGUAAACAUAUUAGACCUACUCAGUUCGCUCCUAACAGUUAUAACGUUGCAACGGGAGUAUACUUUUUCUCAUUCAAUCGAAAAAGGUAUAAAAGCUAUUAUAAUCGUUCUAUUAUGCCUCUGGAGUGUAAAUUUGGAACAAAUCGUUGUCAACCUUCACAAGACCCAAAACCGGAACAAACAUUAGACUUCUCAGUUGCGCCCUAACAGCAUAAAUUUGCAACGAAGUACUUUUUCUCAUUCAUCCGAACAAAGAGUUAAAAAGCUAUUAAAUUGUUCUAUUUGCCUCGAGAGUGUAAUUUGGAAAGAAUCCGAUGUCAACGUUGCAAGAACAAAAACCGGAACAACAUUGGGACUCACUCAGUUGGCCCUAACAGUAUAACUUUGCAACGAGUACUUUUCUUUCAUUCAAUCGAACAAAAGAGUAAAGCUAAUUAUUAUUUUUCCAUUAUGCUCGGAGAUUGUUAACUUAGAACCGAAUCGUUGUUCAACCUUCACAAGACAAGAACACGGAAAAAAUUAAGACUGCUUAGUUGGCCCUACAGUAUAACUUUCCAACCAGUACUUUUUCGACAUUCUAAUCGAACAAAGAGUAAAAAGCUAAUCGUAUAUAGUAUCUACUAAUUGCCAGAGGAGUGAUAAAUUUGGAACGCAAAUCGAUGUCACUAUUUACAAAAAUCAAACACCGCGGAACAACAUUAGACUACGUCAGUCUUGCCUUAAUCAAUAGUAUAGAAUUUGUUACGAGUAACUUUUUCUCAUUCAAGAUCGACAAAAAAAGAGUAAAACUAAUUAUAUUAUUCUAUUAUGCCACCGGGAGUGUUAAAUUUAGGAACAAAUCUGGGAUUGGACAGACCUCUCACAAGAACCAAAAACCCGGAACAACAGUUAGACACUUCAGUUGCCGCCUAAUAGCUAUAACUUUUGCAACGAUACUUUUUUCCUAACUCAGAAGAUCGAACAAAGAGUAAAACCUGAAUUAUAUGAUUCAUACUUAAUGCGCGAGAGUGUAAAUUGGAAACAAAUUGAUGUCAACCUUACACAAGGAACCAAAAUACGGACAACAUUUAGACCACUCAGUUAGCGCACCUAACAGAUAAUAACUUUGGCAACGAGUACUUUUUCUCAAUCAUGCGAACAAAGAAGUUAAAAGCUAAUUCUAUGUGUUCUACUUAUGCUCUGAGAAUGUAAAAUUAAGGAAGGAAGCGAUGUCUAUGUUCAGAAGAUAGAAAAACUGGAACCACCACACCAUUAAGUACCUCAGUUGCGCGCCUUACCGUAUAAAUUUGCAAAGCGAGUCGUUUUUCUGCUUCAAUCGAACAAAGAGUUAAACAUGUUCUAUUAUGCCCCUUGAGAGUGAUAAAUUUGGAACGAAUGAUGUCAACCUUUACAAAGACACCAAAACCCGUAACACAAUAGACUAUCAGUUGCGCCUAACAGUAUAACUUUGCAACGGUACCUUUUCUCAUAUCAACUGACAUAAAGAGUAAAGCUAUAAUAUUGUCUAUUCUGCCCCGAGAUUGCUAAUUAGAACGAAAUCGAUAGUCAACGUUGACAAGAACUCAAAAACAGGAACAACAUUGGAACUACUCAGUUGCGCCCUAACAGUAUAACUUUGCAACGAGUACCUUUUCUCGUUCAAUCGAACAAAGAGUAAAAGCUAAUUAUAUUGUUCUAUUAUGCCCCGAGAUUGUUAAUUUAGAACGAAUCGAUGUCAACGUUGAAAAGAACCAAAACCGGAACAACAUUAGACUACUCAGUUGCGCAUAAACAGUAUAACUUUACAACGAGUACUUUUUCUCAUUCAAUCGAACAAAGAGUAAAAGCUAAUUAUAUUG